rnacentral:rRNA from 1 species
ACCCUCGGGUGGACAGGGAGACAGGUGGUGCAUGGUUGUCGUCAGCUCGUGUCGUGAGAUGUGGGUUAAGUCCCGCAACGAGCGCAACCCCUACGUUUAGUUGCUAACGCGUGAAGGCGAGCACUCUAGACGAACUGCCGUUGACAAAACGGAGGAAGGUGGGGAUGACGUCAAAUCAUCAUGCCCCUUAUGUUCUGGGCUACACACGUGCUACAAUGGCCGGUACAGACGGACGCAAAGCCGCGAGGUGGAGCAAAUCCUAAAAAGCCGGUCUCAGUUCGGAUUGCAGGCUGCAAUUCGCCUGCAUGAAGUCGGAAUCGCUAGUAAUCGCAGGUCAGCAUACUGCGGUGAAUACGUUCCCGGGCCUU